rnacentral:rRNA from 1 species
AUUGAACGCUGGCGGCAGGCCUAACACAUGCAAGUCGAACGAGAGGCGGACGGGUGAGAAAUGUCUGGGAAAAUGCCCGAUGGAGGGGGAUAACUACUGGAGACGGUAGCGAAUACCGCAUACCAUCGGAGGUGCCCAGAUGGGAUUAGCUAGUAGGUGGGGGAACGGCUCACCUAGGCGACGAUCCCUAGCUGGUCUGAGAGGAUGACCAGCCACACUGGAACUGAGACACGGUCCAGACUCCUACGGGAGGCAGCAGUGGGGAAUAGUGCACAAUGGGCGCAAGCCUGAUGCAGCCAUGCCGCGUGUAUGAAGAAGGCCUUCGGGUUGUAAAGUACUUUCAGCGAGGAGGCGUUACUCGCAGAAGAAGCACCGGCUAACUCCGUGCCAGCAGCCGCGGUAAUUC